UACGUAGGGGGCAAGCGUUGUUCGGAAUCAUUGGGCGUAAAGAGCGUGUAGGCGGCUCGAUAAGUCCGCUGUGAAAGUCCAGGGCUCAACCCUGGAAGGCCGGUGGAAACUGUCGGGCUAGAGUCCGGAAGAGGCGAGUGGAAUUCCCGGUGUAGCGGUGAAAUGCGCAGAUAUCAGGAGGAACACCGGUGGCGAAGGCGGGUCUCUGGGCCGAAACUGACGCUGAGGAGCGAAAGCGUGGGGAGCAAACAGG
rnacentral:rRNA from 1 species